AGAACCAUGGAACACUUUCAACAGUCCCCUCCAGGCAUCGUGACUCCUCAGGAACAGUUUCAUUUCAGAGAAGGUCUCAUUUGGGGCCAUUCCAAGAUGGAUCCUGCUCCUCAAGAGCCACCCCCUCCACUGGAUGGUCUUCUGAACAGAUGAUCUCCUUCCUGUCCUCAGGCUGACUAAAGCUGCACCGUUUGCAUCUGUGAAGGCCCCUCAAUCACUAAACCACUGGACUACAAACACAUGACUUCAGAGACGUUGAAACAGCGUGAAUGGAGACACCAAGCAUAAUCCAUCACCAAUGUGGGACGCCACUGAAGAAUGUUGUGCAUAAUUUACGUCUCUGGAGAUAUUGGUGGUUCUGUUCUGGGUGCCCUGACAGGAGAGCUGGGGGUGGAUGAUGGAAUGUUAUUUGGCAUGAGGUUUUUACCCUGCAGGAGUGUUUGGUCUUUUAUGGCUCAGUGGUGUGUGUGGGUUUGACAUGAGAUGGAAGAUUUUUGAACAUCGAUAGGGUUCUACUGUGUGUGUGUGUGUCCCACUCACACCCGGAACGGGGUUCUACGUGUGUGUCCUGGGUUCUGCGUCCUGCUUGCUUUGACAUUGAUAAUUUUCUUACGGGGGUCUGUGUGAUUGGCUUGGUGUAUUGGAAUGGUCAGUUAAGUCAUACCUGCUGGACGGCCACACGUUUACUUGAGGCCUCCAGGAGACAUGAAGAGCCCUGAGCGACGCUCCGGAGCGAUAUCCAACACACUGGGCAGGAAGGAGAGUAUCCAACUCAAGUGUAAAAGGAUGCAAGCGGCGUGUUCAGAUCAGCGACUUCAAACUAGGACUACACCAAUCAGGAUCAAUGGAGGAUGGACACCUAAAGGCAUUCCACAAGGACUCUGAAGUUGGAAAGGAACCUCAAUGGAUGUUCAAGAUGACCUUCAGACCUGUAAUGAGGCGGAUCUUCCGACCUGGCUGGAUUGAUGGAGAGCCCUGUGGAUCUUGUCUUGCUCUCAGUUGCACGUCUUCUCAGGCUGAACUGUAUUUGCUGUACAGGACUAGCUGAACGAUCGGUUCCCUUAAAUCAGAACCAAUCUGGGAACUCCAACUAGUGCGCUCUUCAAGCUGAAGUUGUGCUCUUCAGCAGAGGAGGCAAGGAAACCUUCACUGGGGCUUCGAAUGUGUAUAGAGGAGAACGUUUCAAGUGUUCAAUGGUACUCUGAUGAAGACCGUUGUUGUGUUUCACUGUCUGAGAGGAAGAACCCUCACAUCCUCCUCUUGGCCUUUCCUCCUCUGAGAAUCCUGGUGCCAUCUUGAAGAAUAUUCCAGCUCAUGUAACUGAUGUCACAACAGAUUCUCAAACACUUGGUUCUCCUGAGGGGCGUGUCUAUAGAACUGAAGACUUCAGAAAGCACUGUAUCCCAGCACGCAUCUCUGCUCACUCAGACCACACCCUCAUGAGUAGGAUGCAACACUCUAGCGAUGGAGAUGUAGAGAUUUAUAAGUAAAGAUGGAGCAGACAACGGUGAUUCCAACACAAUUGCAAUUUAAGUCUUUAAAUCUUUAAACCAUGAAGAUGGUUGGAUAGUUCAGGAAUUGGGCUUAAUUUUACUUAUGGGCAGUCCUUUCGCUCAAAUGCCCACUUCUCACUGGACCUGUACAUGUGUUGGUUGGCUGGCAUGAUUUGCUGUUGGUAAUGAGGCGGUCAGGGUGACAUUGCUUGGCUAUGGUCGGCUCUCUGUGAGCUUACUGUUUAGAUUUGAUCUGUAUGGUUUGUACCCUGAAUAUCGAUAAUUGUUUUUAAUUUUAAAAUGUAGACAAGGUUUUGCAUUGAAUUAUUCCAUUGUUUUUAAGCAAAGAAUUGAGGUUUAAAGUUGUUGUGGAACGUACAUGGUAGUUCGGUUCUUCGUGCGGUUUUGAGUGAUUUAACUUGUACACUGGGUGCAUAAUAAUGUAAAGGUACACUGAAUAGUAUUAAUGACCAACAGCAACAAACGGAUCUCCUCAAGGUAAGUCUGUUGGCUGUGUUUUAAUAAAGACCAUCGCUGGACUUCAGGAUCUUCCUCCGUUCAGCUCAAGGUGAGGCGCUGGUUCUGUUUUUCUUUGGUUGGUUCCGGCCGGAAUGUUCGGAUUCCAGUCGGACGGUUUGUGCUUCCCGCCGUGGAAGGUUCUGAGUGCGUUCACUUGAUUUAGUCUCAAUGGUUAGCAUAGAACGUUGUAGUCUUGACAACCAUAAGAACCCACGUGGCCGUUAGUUGGACGUGAAUCCCCUGAGGGUAUUUGGCGGAACGUUCUGAAUGUAUUUGCGUAUCUUCGAGCCGUUGCCAAGAAACUAUUUUUCAGUCGGUUUCCAUCAGGAAUUGUUGCCCCUUAUCUUAAACUACUUAAGUUUGAUAUUAAAUACACACUGACGCGUACAUCGUACAAUAUGUUGAUAAUUUCCGACUGUUGCGCCGACUUUAACCACGUUGACGGGACUCUCGCUGCGUUCAAAACAGCGUUCUACUUGCGGGCCCAUUUCUGAUCAUCAGUGAAGGCUGAAGAUCAUUUCAAGGUGGAAGACAAUUUGGCAUUUCUUCGACGGAACCCUGCACCUGAAUAUGGCUGAGUAUAUUUGAUUUAAUAUCGAUACUGCUUAGUGUUCUUUGUUACUUCAGCUUUCAUACGUUCUAAAUAUCUGGUGUCAAUAAUUGCCAAGAAAAAACCCUACCCAAUGGAAUGACGUUAAACAACGACUUUGGUGCUUAGUUACCAACUGGAUAAUAACAAAGCUAAAAUAAUGGCCGUCUUUCCCACAUGUUACAGUAGAAGAAACUCUAGAACUGUACAAGGUUAAAAAGGUAACAUGUAGUUUGUCCCAAGGUGUCUGCCUCCUCACUCCACCUCCUCACCCAGAGCCAGACCUCCACCUCCUCAGCCAGACCUCCACCUCCUCACCCAGAGCCAGACCUCCACCUCCUCACCCAGAGCCAGACCUCCACCUCCUCACCCAGAGCCAGACCUCCACCUCCUCACCCAGAGCCAGACCUCCACCUCCUCACCUCCUCACCCAGAGCCAGACCUCCACCUCCUGUCAGAAGUCCUCCAGAACAGCUGAAAGGCGAGGCUGAGAGGCUGGGGACCGGCUUGUGGUGCCAGGAUGGACCGGAGACUGAGGCUGGAGACCAGGGGCCUGCAGCACCGGACCAGAGGGUAACCAUCACCAAGCUCAUCUGAAACACUAAAAUCCUCAGUAGUUAAGGUCUGGUUUUGAUCAUCUUAUGACUUUAAAUCUGUGCCAA
ensembl:lncRNA